UAACUCCGUGCCAGCAGCCGCGGUAAUACGGAGGGUGCGAGCGUUAAUCGGAAUUACUGGGCGUAAAGCGCAUGCAGGCGGCCUGUUAAGUCAGAUGUGAAAGACCCGGGGCGUUAACCUCGGAAUUGCAUUUGAAACUGGCAGGCUAGAGUCUUGUAGAGGGGGGUAGGAAGUUUCAGGUGUAGCGGUGAAAUGCGUAGAGAUCUGAAGGAAUACCAGUGGCGAAGGCGGCCCCCUACGGACAGAUACUGACACUCAGAUGCGAAAGCGUGGGGAGCAAACAGGAUUAGAUACCCCUGGUAG
rnacentral:rRNA from 1 species